rnacentral:rRNA from 1 species
GAUGAACGCUGGCGGCGUGCUUAACACAUGCAAGUCGAACGAAGCACCUCUCCCGAAGCUUGACACAGCUUGCUGUAGAUUGAUUCAUUUGAGGUGACUGAGUGGCGGACGGGUGAGUAACGCGUGGGUAACCUGCCUCAUAGAGGGGGACAACAGUUGGAAACGACUGCUAAUACCGCAUAGUAAGAAGAAUUCGCAUGUUUUCUUCUUGAAAGAUUUAUCGCUAUGAGAUGGACCCGCGUCUGAUUAGCUAGUUGGUAAGGUAACGGCUUACCAAGGCGACGAUCAGUAGCCGGCAUGAGAGAGUGAACGGCCACAUUGGGACUGAGACACGGCCCAAACUCCUACGGGAGGCAGCAGUGGGGAAUAUUGCACAAUGGGGGAAACCCUGAUGCAGCGACGCCGCGUGAGUGAAGAAGUAUUUCGGUAUGUAAAGCUCUAUCAGCAGGGAAGAUAAUGACGGUACCUGACUAAGAAGCCCCGGCUAACUACGUG